UUUAUCACGGUAGAUGAAACCAUCUAUUUGACCACAUCAAGAACUAGGCAUCCCUACCCAUCUUUGUUCCUCAUACCCCACAUCCAGUUCGUUAGCAGAUCUUGUAUUUGCUCUCUUCCGAAUACAGUUUUAGGUCUAGUUGUUUCUCACAGUUGGCUCACUACUGAAGCCCUAGUCCAUGCCAACACUCUCAUCCUCCUGCCAUACCUACUUCCAGUCUUGCUUCCCUACAGUCUAUUCCCCACAAAGCUCCUCAGCCAGUGGAGGAGAGAGAGUUCAACCUUCUCACCACAGACCUGUAGUUUACCUACCACAGCUUUAUAACUGAGAGAUGAAGAGGAGGCAUGUAAGAAGAGAGAGUUAACAGAGAAGAUGGAGGAGAACCAGUAGACCAGCAUUUCUAAAGCAAGGGUAUUUUUUUUUCUUUAUAAAAUAUAUGUGACAUCAUGAAAUUUUUUUAAGAUUGUGUUUUAGAUCGUCUUUAAUUUCAUAAGGGACUUUUGAA
rnacentral:lncRNA from 1 species